GAGUCGAUCGGACAAUUGGUCGUCCAGGCUGUCUGUAAAACAGUCGCCUGCGGGCGUUGGGGGUUCGAUUCCCUCUCGGCUCA
rnacentral:tRNA from 1 species